rfam:Triticum urartu cultivar G1812 contig943465, whole genome shotgun sequence.
GGACAAGAGAAAUCUUACUUUUUAAUUAAAACAAAACAUUGCAAUGGUUCUCGCGGAUGCUGACGCAAUGUGAUUUCUGAUCAGUGCAUUGAAUGUCAAAGUGAAUAAAUUCAACCAAGCGCGGGUAAAUGGUGGGAGGAAUUAUGCCUCUCUUAAGGUAGUCGAAUGCCUUGUCAUCUACUUAGUGAUGCGCAUGAAUAGAGGGAGGUCCU